AGCGAACGCUGGCGGCAGGCUUAACACAUGCAAGUCGAACGGGCGUAGCAAUACGUCAGUGGCAGACGGGUGAGUAACGCGUGGGAACGUACCUUUUGGUUCGGAACAACCCAGGGAAACUUGGGCUAAUACCGGAUAAGCCCUUACGGGGAAAGAUUUAUCGCCGAAAGAUCGGCCCGCGUCUGAUUAGCUUGUUGGUGAGGUAACGGCUCACCAAGGCGACGAUCAGUAGCUGGUCUGAGAGGAUGAUCAGCCACAUUGGGACUGAGACACGGCCCAAACUCCUACGGGAGGCAGCAGUGGGGAAUAUUGGACAAUGGGCGCAAGCCUGAUCCAGCCAUGCCGCGUGAGUGAUGAAGGCCCUAGGGUUGUAAAGCUCUUUUGUGCGGGAAGAUAAU
rnacentral:rRNA from 1 species